rnacentral:sRNA from 1 species
GCCCCCGAUAUCAGGGGGUGGAUUUGAACCACGUGGUUCGACGGAGCAGCGCAGCUGCGACGAGCGCCGCCAGAGGCGGCGACCCGGAGGGCGAGCGGCGCAGCCGCGAGUCAUCCACCCCCCGGAGCCU